AACGAACGCUGGCGGCAUGCCUAACACAUGCAAGUCGAACGAGACCUUCGGGUCUAGUGGCGCACGGGUGCGUAACGCGUGGGAACCUGCCCUUAGGUUCGGAAUAACUCCCCGAAAGGGGUGCUAAUACCGGAUAAUGUCUUCGGACCAAAGAUUUAUCGCCUUUGGAUGGGCCCGCGUUGGAUUAGCUAGUUGGUAGGGUAAAAGCCUACCAAGGCGACGAUCCAUAGCUGGUCUGAGAGGAUGAUCAGCCACACUGGGACUGAGACACGGCCCAGACUCCUACGGGAGGCAGCAGUGGGGAAUAUUGGACAAUGGGCGAAAGCCUGAUCCAGCAAUGCCGCGUGAGGGAUGAAGGCCUGAGGGUUGUAAAGCUCUUUUACCCGGGAUGAUAAUGACAGCACCGGGAGAAGAAGCUCCGGCUACCUCCG
rnacentral:rRNA from 1 species